rnacentral:rRNA from 1 species
GUCCACGCCGUAAACGAUGAGCGCUAGGUGUUGGGGGUAUUGACCCCCCCAGUACCGCAGCUAACGCGUUAAGCGCUCCGCCUGGGGAGUAUGGCCGCAAGGCUAAAACUCAAAGGAAUUGACGGGGCCCGCACAAGCGGUGGAGUAUGUGGUUUAAUUCGACGCAACGCGCAAAACCUUACCUGGGUUAAAUCCACUGGAACCUUCUAGAGAUAGAGGGGUGCCUUCGGGAGCCAGUGAGACGGUGCUGCAUGGCUGUCGU